UGUGUACUCCCUCCGUUCCAAAAUACUUGACUUCCAUUUGUCCAAAAAUGGAUGUACCUAUAUACUAAGACAUGUCUAGAUACAUAUAUAUUUUGACAAAUAGAAGGCAUGUAUUGUGCAACUGAGGGAGUAGAAU
rnacentral:pre_miRNA from 1 species